rnacentral:rRNA from 1 species
UGAGGAAUAUUGGUCAAUGGGCGAGAGCCUGAACCAGCCAAGUCGCGUGAAGGAUGAAGGUUCUAUGGAUCGUAAACUUCUUUUAUAGGGGAAUAAAGUGAGCUACGUGUAGCUUUUUGUAUGUACCCUAAGAAUAAGGAUCGGCUAACUCCGUGCCAGCAGCCGCGGUAAUACGUAGGGGGCAAGCGUUAUCCGGAUUUACUGGGUGUAAAGGGCGAGUAGACGGCGCAACAAGUCAGCUGUGAAAACUCAGGGCUUAACCCUGAGACUGCAGCUGAAACUGUAGUGCUAGAGUGCAGGAGAGGUAAGUGGAAUUCCUAGUGUAGCGGUGAAAUGCGUAGAUAUCAGGAAGAACACCAGUGGCGAAGGCGACUUACUGGACUGUAACUGACACUGAGGCUCGAAAGCUAGGGUAGCGAACG